rnacentral:rRNA from 1 species
UACAACAUAGUGUUAAUGCACCAGAUCCCAUUAGAACUCCAUAGUUAAGUGCACUCAGAUAGAUUAGUACUAGUAUGGGUGAUUGCUUAGGAAGUCCUAGUGUUUUAC